rnacentral:rRNA from 1 species
UACGUAGGGCGCGAGCGUUGUCCGGAAUUAUUGGGCGUAAAGCGCUCGUAGGCGGUCCAUCGCGUCGGGGGUGAAAAGCUGGGGCUUAACCCCAGUCCUGCUUCCGAUACGGGUGGACUAGAGGUAGGCAGGGGAGAGCGGAAUUCCUGGUGUAGCGGUGAAAUGCGCAGAUAUCAGGAGGAACACCGGUGGCGAAGGCGGUUCUCUGGGCCGGACCUGACGCUGAGGAGCGAAAGCAUGGGGAGCAAACAGG